CCUGCAUUCUCCCAGCAUCCACCAAGAGAGCAGGGCACCAGUGAUGGAGGGGUACUGAGUUCCGGUAGUAGUGACAAAGUUGAAAGAAGUAAUUGAUAAAGUCACCAUCCAAACCUCAACGCCUGCAUCCACCUGGUCAACACCCACAACAUCUGUAGACUUACCAGCUUCUGCAUGUGUUUCUCCUCAGGUUGUGUCUGAUGAUAUGGCCAUGCUCUGUAAACAUUCCCUAAUAUCAGCAUUCAGGAUGUGAGACGUAUCAUGAGAAACAAUGGAAGCUAGAACAAACAAACCACUGACAAGAAGAUAUGAAAAUAAUUUUUGCUUCCGGUUUGUUGAUCAUCUUUGGGUUGGAUUUGUGGUUCCUCUGCAGCAGGAUGGCCAUUUAAUAAGGAAGUACAACAGUUUUGUAGCCAUCCAGUGACUGAUUUCAGAGAGGCUCUUGCAUGACAUAUUCUAAUAUUAACCUACCCUAAAGACUGUUUAUACUGUGUGUUUAUUAUGUUUUGAACUGGGAUGUCGAU
ensembl:lncRNA